rnacentral:rRNA from 1 species
GAUUAAAAAAAAAAAUGCGCCCGAUCUCGUCUGAUCUCGGAAGCUAGGCAGGGUCGGGCCUGGUUAGUACUUGGAUAGGAGACCGCCUGGGAAUACCAGGUGCUGUAAGCU